UUAGAGUCCAACAGAACAAAACCAACCAGGCCAGAGAGACACACAUACAUGUUCCAGAUGACGUCUUCGUUACAUGCCAUGAAUCUAACAUUCAUAUCCUCGUUAUUGUGGCUGCUGGAUUCUUGUUUAUUGCAAGUAUUGCAGUUUUCAUUGUUGUGUGGAAAUGGAGACCAAACAAAAGUAAAAUGAAUAAAAUGAAGGAUGUCAAAGAGAGAGGAGAAGAGGAAGAAAAGGUAGAGGUGAUGGAAAUACUGAUGGGCCAAAGGAACCAACAGGAGAACUUAAGAGACCAACUAAGAUCAGAGCUGAAAGAGGUGGAGACAGAGAUGAGUGAGAAGAAGCAGCAGCUGGAGUAUAGAAAUAAAUUGUUUUUGUCCAGCAUAUUACCUGAUGAAGUUAAGGCCAAUCUAGCAGAGACCUGUAAAGAACUGGAAAAGAGACGAGUUGGACUUGAGGAAUGUCUCAACAACUCUGAAAAACAACUACAGACAACAGAUGAAGUGAUUGCGAGAAUGACAGCAGCAGAAAAGGAACGAGAAGAGACUCAAAAAACCUCCAAAAAUCUGAGCUGUCACAAAGAGGAGGUAAAUGAAACUGCUAUAAUGUUAGCAUCAAGAGAGGAACAUUAUUCUGAACCUUAAAUUAAAGCUUACAUGUAGACAAGAUGGACUGAGACCAGUGAGCUUACUCAUUUUGAUUAAUUUUGAGCUGACUUGCUACAGUUGAACAGAGAAAAACUGAAAUCAUUGCUCUGGGUCCAAAGAAGAAAGAUUUAAAGUCAGUUUUCACCUUGAAUCCAUGACACUAACAUCUACAAUUCAAGCUAGAAAUCUUGGUGCAGUUACAGACUCUUAUCUAAAGACAAGACAAUACCACCUUAAAAACAUAGGAAGUAUUAGAGGAUUUCUGUCUGAACAAGAUGCAAGUACUUCACUAAUCCCAUAAAAUUUCAUUUCCUGCAGCUUACCCAUAAUGUACAACCCCCUUUUAAUUUUGAGCUAUUUAUUGGCUUGUUUUAGCUGUUGUUUUUAUUGUCAUGUAAAUGCUUUUUUUUCAGUUUUCUUAAUGUUUUAUCUUUAAUGUGUUUCUAUGCCACUGUAAAGCACUUUGAAUGUCCUUGUGUUUGAAUGGUGCUUUAUUAAUAAAGCUGGCCUGCCUUGCAAAGUUCAGUCUAAUCAAAUCUAAGUAAACAAUAAACAGUACAGUAGUUACUAUAUGUAAUUAUUUGAACAUAUUUGUCAUAGUGCUGCUCGUUAAAGAUUAACAAAGCAGGAUAUUACUGUUCAUGUGAUCCUUUUCAUGUGAUUUUACUGGACUUUGUUACUAGACUGUCUGAGACGGGGUGAUUGUGUGAACCAGUGAACAGGUAGGCUGAAACUAUGUUCUACUUUUAAUUAAACAUAAAAAAGGAAAACCAUUUUGACUUGCUUGUAUUCCUCUCAGUAGUCUGUGGAGGGGGAUCUGCUUUAUAAUUCCAAAACACUGUUUUAUCAAUAAUGUACAGAGUUACAGGACUGGCUGAUCUGCAGCAUGUUAAAUUCACUCUUUUAAAGUGACAAACCUCCCCAACACAUUACUGAAUAAACACUGAAGAAAAACACGUUUAAUAGGUGAAUACAGAAAAUCUCAGUCUUUUUAUCAUGUGACUAAACACCAAGAAAGCAGGUAACUGUAGUCCCACAGAUGGCAGACGUUACACUUAUAGGAACUGUAUGACACCACACAGAAAAUGUAGGAUGUUUACUCACAUGACAGAAAUAUUGGGAGUUUUGACAUAAGUGUGAUUUGACUUACUGUAAAUGCUGUUUUAUGAAGCCUCAUAUUAAAGUUUGAGCGUUAACUCGUU